rnacentral:tRNA from 1 species
GGGGGUUUAGCUCAGCGGGAGAGCAUCGGCUUUGCAAGCCGAGGGUCUGGGGUUCGAUCCCCCAAACCUCCA